AACAAUAUUAAAAUAUCCACAAUGCGUUUCACCUUUAAGGCUUUAUCAAGUUUACUUGAUUAAGCCUUAAAGGUGAACUGCGUUGUGGAUAUUUUA